rnacentral:tRNA from 1 species
AUUUAAAUAAUUUAAUUAAAAUGUUGAUUUGUGGGGUCAAAUUUGUUUAGAAUAUAAACUUUAAAUU